AUGUGGACGUACCACCUGUCAAGUUCUAGCCCUGGCUUUGAGGAUCCAGUGACUGGCAGCAGUCCUGUCAGUACCGUGUCUCAAUUUGGAGGGGCUUACAGAGAGGAUGUUAAUUUACGGGUACUGCUGGCUGUGCCCAAAUGCCAGGGGUGCCGCACAUGGCUGACCUACUUUACUAUUGCCCUAUCCACAUGCAUGCUGACUGCAGUCCUGCUAGGACCUGGACUACCCAGUGGAACUCAUUAGCUACUGCGUAACUACAAGAGAAACUGAUCUUGUGAAAUACCGAAGCAGGGAAAGGUAAUUUAUAUUUGGUGGAAUAUACUGUGAGGUGUGUGUUUUGACAUUUUAAAGUUGAUACCACUGGCACUAAUUAUUUUGUUUGCUCAAAGAAUAUACUGUAUCUGGAGAUGCUUCAGUAUUUGAGCUCUCUGGGAUGUCGCUCCAUGUUAAAUCUGAUGAGUCACGCCAUAAUGGAGUACGACAUCCACCAUCAUUGUAAUCUGAGCUAUUUCAUCCAGUGACUUAGUGAAUUUUCAGAAACCUUGGUAUAUUUAAUGUUUGUACAACAUUUCUAUUUGCUGGAGAAAUACUAUAGUUAAAGGGAUAAUUCACCCAAAAAUGCAAGUUUGAUGUUUAUCUGCUUACCCCCAGGGCAUCCAAGAUGUAGGUGACUUUGUUUCUUCAGUAGAACACAAGCGAAGAUUUUUAACUAAAACUGUUGCAGUCUAUCACUCUUAUAAUGUAAGUGGAUGGGGAUCACAGCUAAAACAUACAAUAAAACUAAAAAAAAAAACAUACACAAAACAAAACCAAAUUAAACCCUGCGGCUCGUGACGAUACAUUUAUGUGUAAAGACAGAAAACAAUUGGUCUGUGCAAGAAACUGAACAGUAUUUAUAUUGGGUUUUUUAACCUCUGAUUCACACAAUGUCCGAACUGUUAGAACUCUCCAUUAUAAGAGUGAUAGACUGCAACGGUUUGAGUUAAAAAUCUUGGUUUGUGUUCUACUGAAGAAACAAAGUCACCUACAUCUGCAUCUGUUGACUUAUCAUUUUUCACUUUUCAUUUUGGGUGAACUAUAACUUUAAUGAAUAACUUACAUUUUAAAUAGUUCCCAUUACGUUGUCUGUUUUUACUUCACCAAUGAAAAUAAUUCCAAAUGAAGCCACAGAAGAAUCAAAAAUCACAUGUCUCCGAGAAAUGCAACACUGGUGUUCUGUUCCUGAAUGAAGUUAAUAUGAAUGUGACAACCACAUUCAUUAAGAAUUUAGUAAUAUGUUUAGUUCCUAAAUGAAUCGGCGUUUUGAAGGAAUUGGUUUUAGUGAAUGAUUCAGUGAUUCACUCAACCAGGUGUUCCAUUCAGUUUUUUCCUCACAUUUGCAAGUUUUUAUCUCACAAUUCCAAGUCUGAAAUGCUACCUAUAAACUCUGAAAAAAACCCCCUGAAUUUUGAGAUUAAAAAGUUGCAAUUACCUGAAUUCCAUGGUGGAAUCAGGCUUCCAUAUGAUUCACUGACUCAAUUAUACUAUUUCUUUCCUGAAUUAAUGUGUUUUUUCAACCUGACCUUUUAAAAUGAGCUCCAAAAUAAAUAUGAGUGCAAUUUGUGAUAAAGGCAUAUUCAGUCGUUGUUUAGUAAAGGCAAAUGGCCCUUUAAUGUCAAAAUCAUUAGACUCCAUCUCAAAGCUGAACUUUAGUACUGCUGCAUUUUGACGACUUUCAAUUAUAAUUUUGUAAAUGAGUCCGAUGUGGCCCAAAGGGCUGUGAGUCAGACAAAACUGUGAGCACGGCGAGCCUUAUGUCAUUGGUUUCUCUCUUCAGUCACAUUCAUGUGACUUCUUUUGGCCAACAGCCAUUGUUUUCAAUGUCAUUAUCAACAUCCUGUGGAGAAACUGUGCUCUCCAUAUGUCCAUGGAAAUUGGCUGUAAAUAGCAUUUUUUUCAUCUAGAAAUGAAACCAAAUGGCAUCUUCCUCGAAAGCUGGAUAUUUUUUCAAGGUCAUGGCGCUUUGGCCAAGAUUUUGAAUGAAAUUUAGAACCAACACAAACCACGUGCAAAAAUCCUCCUUGUGGCCUCAAAAUGUGGAAUGUGAAUUUUUU
rnacentral:lncRNA from 12 species